rnacentral:lncRNA from 1 species
AGGGACCUCGGCCCUGCGGUGGGGCCUUCUCCUGCUCCUGCCACGUGGAGGAUACCCUCACCAUCCCCAGCAGCCAGGUCGGGAGCGGCAGGAGCAUCGAGUGGAAGGAUGUUGUUCCGUGCUGCAGAGCGGGCGCAGCUCAGCUCAGCAGACCUCAGCUGCCGAUCUGCACGCAGCAUCAAAGCCAUGCAGGGAGGUAGGAGAAAAACAAAUCCGUGCCAGUAGGUCUCUACACAUGAUGUAGAGAUCUGCACUUCCUGGGGGGGUUGCAGGAAAUGUUGAAUAUCGUUGGAUGCUGCUGGAAUAUCUCGCUUGAGCUGCGCCACAAGAGGGCAACCCGAGGCCACGAAUGUUCUACUCAAGCCCAGGAGAUGCU